rnacentral:rRNA from 1 species
GAUGAACGCUGGCGGCGUGCCUAAUACAUGCAAGUCGAGCGAACAGACGAGGAGCUUGCUCCUCUGACGUUAGCGGCGGACGGGUGAGUAACACGUGGAUAACCUACCUAUAAGACUGGGAUAACUUCGGGAAACCGGAGCUAAUACCGGAUAAUAUAUUGAACCGCAUGGUUCAAUAGUGAAAGACGGUUUUGCUGUCACUUAUAGAUGGAUCCGCGCCGCAUUAGCUAGUUGGUAAGGUAACGGCUUACCAAGGCAACGAUGCGUAGCCGACCUGAGAGGGUGAUCGGCCACACUGGAACUGAGACACGGUCCAGACUCCUACGGGAGGCCGCAGUAGGGAAUCUUCCGCAAUGGGCGAAACCCUGACGGAACAACGCCGCGUGAGUGAUGAAGGUCUUCGGAUCGUACAACUCUGUUAUUAGGGAAGAACAAAUGUGUAAGUAACUAUGCACGUCUUGACGGUACCUAAUCAGAAAGCCACGGCUAACUACGUG